rfam:Candidatus Levybacteria bacterium RIFCSPHIGHO2_01_FTLL_37_33 rifcsphigho2_01_scaffold_10669, whole genome shotgun sequence.
GCCGCCAUCGUCUAGUGGACUAGGACAUCUGGUUUUCAGCCAGAGAAUCAGGGGUUCGAAUCCCCUUGGCGGUA